GAUGAACGCUAGCUACAGGCUUAACACAUGCAAGUCGAGGGGAAACGAUAUUGGAAGCUUGCUUCCGAUAGGCGUCGACCGGCGCACGGGUGAGUAACGCGUAUCCAACCUGCCCACCACUUGGGGAUAACCUUGCGAAAGUAAGACUAAUACCCAAUGAUCUCUCAAGAAGACAUCUGAAUGAGAUUAAAGAUUUAUCGGUGAUGGAUGGGGAUGCGUCUGAUUAGCUUGUUGGCGGGGUAACGGCCCACCAAGGCGACGAUCAGUAGGGGGUCUGAGAGGAAGGUCCCCCACAUUGGAACUGAGACACGGUCCAAACUCCUACGGGAGGCAGCAGUGAGGAAUAUUGGUCAAUGGGCGAGAGCCUGAACCAGCCAAGUAGCGUGCAGGAUGACGGCCCUAUGGGUUGUAAACUGCUUUUAUAAGGGAAUAAAGUGAGCCUCGUGAGGCUUUUUGCAUGUACCUUAUGAAUAAGGACCGGCUAAUUCCGUGCCAGCCGCCGCAGUAA
rnacentral:rRNA from 1 species